GUGAUUUCUGUAAUGCAGAAAAGCAACACCACAUCUGAAAUUAUUUUCACUCUGUUACAAGAGCUGCCACAAGGCCAAGCAUAACAGAUUACAACAUUAUUGUGGAGUGUUUGGAAAAGCCGUAAUUUACGUGUUUGGGAGAAUGUUACGGACAUUGGGCAGGUUAUUGUUGAGCGCGCGAAGCAAAUGCUACAGAACUGGAAUUUCGCAAAUUGUAAGAAGCAAAUAAGUGGGGCUGCUGGAGCUGCACCACAUACUACUGCUGUCAUUAGUGGAGGAUCUUGAACUUUUUUUCUGAGGGUGCCAAAUAUGUUUAGAAUAUAUAUAAAUCCGUUUUAAGUUAUUGACAAAAUUAUGAAUUAGCCUAGUGGUUUAUUUUCCUGAAACUACCAUAGAGAAUGUGGUUCAAUUCCCAUUGGAACCUCUUUUUUUGAGUAAAGUAUUAAUAAUACAAUGGAUAAUAUAAAAAAAGAAGCUA
rnacentral:lncRNA from 1 species